rfam:Nocardiopsis dassonvillei subsp. dassonvillei DSM 43111, complete genome.
UGACCCCGUACGGGAGAGUGCCCGCGUAUCCAGCGCGGGCCGCCGAAGGAGCAAUCCCUCCCCGAAGACAACCUCUCAGGCACAGCGGACCGUACGGGCGAG